AUUGAACGCUUGCGGCAGGCCUAACACAUGCAAGUCGAACGCGUGGCGGACGGGUGAGUAAUGUCUGGGAAACUGCCUGAUGGAGGGGGAUAACUACUGGAAACGGUAGCUAAUACCGCAUACCAUCAGAUGUGCCCAGAUGGGAUUAUCUAGUUGGUGGGGUAACGGCUCACCAAGGCGACGAUCCCUAGCUAGUCUGAGAGGAUGACCAGCCACAUUGGAACGGAGACAAGGUCCAGACUCGUACGGGAGGCAGCAGUGGGGAAUAUUGCACAAUGGGCGCAAGCCUGAUGCAGCCAGGCCGCGUGUAUGAAGAAGGCCUUCGGGUUGUAAAGUACUUUCAGCGGGGAGGCGUUACCCUCAGAAGAAGCACCGGCUAACUCCGUGCCAGCAGCCGCGGUAAUUC
rnacentral:rRNA from 1 species